rnacentral:rRNA from 1 species
GACGAACGCUGGCGGCGUGCUUAACACAUGCAAGUCGAACGGAAAGGCCCUGCUUUUGUGGGGUGCUCGAUUGGCGAACGGGUGAGUAACACGUGAGUAACCUGCCCUUGACUUUGGGAUAACUUCAGGAAACUGGGGCUAAUACCGGAUAGGAUCUCCUGCUGCAUGGUGGGGGUUGGAAAGUUUCGGCGGUUGGGGAUGGACUCGCGGCUUAUCAGCUUGUUGGUGGGGUAGUGGCUUACCAAGGCUUUGACGGGUAGCCGGCCUGAGAGGGUGACCGGCCACAUUGGGACUGAGGUACGGCCCAGACUGCUACGGGAGGGAGCAGUGGGGAAUAUUGCACAAUGGGCGGAAGCCUGAUGCAGAAACGCCGCGUGCGGGAUGACGGCCUUCGGGUUGUAAACCGCUUUCGCCUGUGACGAAGCGUGAGUGACGGUAAUGGGUAAAGAAGCACCGGCUAACUACGUG